AUGUCUAUGUAUGUGUGUGUGUGUGUGUGUGUGGAGGGGAAAGAGCUGAAGUUCACAGUCUUCGCCCAGGGGAAACAUGCAGGGGGGAGACCGUACACAGCAGUUAAGGCUUUGUCAAUCACCCCCCUGCACAAUGCUCCCAGGCUGGUCCCCAGAGCUGUUCGCGCCCAUGGACAGCUCAGCAAACAAAGAAAUCUUCAGAGUUUUAAGCGGUUCCAGAAGAAAGGAAAUUCCUACAAGGAGAAUGUCAAUGCACCAAACCAAUCAGAACACUGUCCAAAGCUGCUUCGUGAAAAGAGAGAUAAAAAAAGCACAAAGGAAAAAGCAUUGGGAAGAGAAAACUUCUUCAUGGGCAGUGUUCUUCCCCUCCCCUGAAAGAGAAAGCCAACCACAAAACCCAAAAAUUCAAACACAAUUUUUCCUCAAUUUUCUAGGCCCGAGACCACUCUAACCCCCCAAAAAUCCCAACAAACCGGGGUUCCACAUCAUAGAAAAGAUGACAUUGGGACAACACACUAGUAUGAAAAUUUGCUGAUGUAUUUCGGUUCUCACGCCUGAAAAGUCUCUGCCUCCCACAACUGAAAAGGCGCUAGUCCACACUAGGGGGUUUGGAGAGGAAGGGACCCCCAAGCUGGUUUGAAAUAUUUCUUUUUAUUGCCAAGGACUCCUUUUUUUUUUUUUUGGUUGCUGUUUACAUCUACCAACGGCAAGGGCACAGGAGUACCCCACCCCCUGCAGCGAGGUUGGCUGGGCCACGGGCCACCACCACUGACCAGGUGACUUUUCUGCCGAGGGGCACGGCGGCUGCAGCGCCUUGAGAAGAGUCGAGGUUUGGGCCGGAAGGAAUGGCGCAGCGCUAACUCUGUGGCACUAAAAGGAGGCGGCGGCCUCGCUGACCAAAAUCAUAAUCUGCUGGUGACACCGGCAUCGGAAAGAAGCCCUUGCACAUUUCUAGACAAGUGUAAACUCGGUUAGGAAACUCUGAAGGGAGCCGCGGGCCAGGGAGGGAAAAAGAGGUUAGUAAAACGUCUCAAACGGAGUUCGGCUAAAAUACUGAGUUCGGGGAGCAACUGGAACGUGGGUCUGUCCGGAGGGGGUGCGGGACUGGGUCAUGCGGACAGUGGUCUCGAGUUCAAACGGACGAUGAGACGAUAACGCAGGUCACGGCCUGGCCGGAGACCCUCCCUCAGUAAGUGCUGGCCGAGGGGGUGCUCAGUCGCUUCCCGAUGUAAAUGCUGAAAGCAAACAACCGGUGCGUGUUACCGUGUGCCGCCGUCCGCCACCCUUCCCCUUCCCUCUGACGCCAUGGGCUGGCCGAAGCUAAUAACUACAUUCUCCGACCCCACUGGGGAGUGGGGGAUCUUGACACUGAGGUUUCCAGCUCCUUUAGGGGAAAUUGUCAUCAGGAAGGGGGCGGGGGUGCAAAUGUAGACUUGCCCUUCAGACUCAGAGAAGACUCUGCUGAUGGACAAGUUCACCCCAGAAUACAUGUGCGGCUGAAAAGGUCAAGGGGGGCCCCCGCCGUCCCAGCCAUGCUGGGCACACACAUAAACACAAAGGCUGCCCCUGGGAGAUGGGGCGAGGCCGUGGGGACCCCAAAGCGGCUACAGAAGCCCCCCAGACAGGCAGGCCAGCCGGCGGCCAGCUGGCUAUCCUUGCCUCCUGCUCCGGCCGAGCCCCCUCCGCUGGGUCUGGAGAGAGAAGAGCCCGUAGGAGAUGGCUGACACACGGCUCUCACUCCACACUGACCCUGAUGCCCUGACGGCUAGGGUUGUCAUCAAUAGUUAGGUUUAAGGUUACGGUUAACCCAUCUCCCCUAAGAACCAUCAGGGAGGGGAGAGGACACCAGAAAGGAUGGACUCGGGGGCCACAGAAACCACCCGCAUUUUUCAUUACCCUUAUCACCUCUUGAACGCUCCUCCUUCUUCGUCUUCUCCUUCUCAUUAACAACAUUCCCCCCCACUCCCUGUUCCCACUCCCCUCCUCUUCCCUCAAACGCAGAGAGAACCCAAGGCAGGGCAAACUCCGCCAUGACCCCUAUCAUGCCUGGGGAGGGUCCUGUACAUUAAACUCCACCCACGUGUUGUUGAAACUACGCACAGUAACUAUGCAUAGGAGAGUUUGGGCUCAAUUCACUGGGAGCGCUUAAACGUGGUAGAUUUUUUUUUAAGUGGUCACUGCCAUUAUCUCAUAGAUUUCCCCCAAAUCUUUCAAAGAGAUGUAUAUGCUUAGCCAUUUGUUAAGGGCCCCCCCCCCGCCCAUGACAGUAAGCUCAUUAUGGGCAGGGAAAGUGUCUGCUAAUUCUGUUGUAUUGUACUGUCCCAAGAGCUCAGUAGAGUGCUCUGUGCUCGAUAAAUACUACUGAUCGAUUAAUUGAUUAACACAAACCCAAAAGGAGUAUCAGAGCAAGGAUUUGGUGGUAAACUGUCACCUACGCCACUGGCCACAAGGGCUGGGACCAAGGUGACUUUUCAUAGUCCUCUCAACACCCCGGGCAGUGCUCUGCACAUCACAGGGGCUCGAUAAAUGCUACCUAAUGAAAGAAAACACAUUUUUGCAAGAAAGGGGGCUUCAGCUAGCAGUCAGGAUCUGGACAUAAGUGAACCAAACCUAAAAGGGAGAAGCGAGGGGCUAGCGGGGGGAGAGACUGGGACAGUGGAGCACGUUGCCGCCGUGGCCCUAUGGAAGCAACUGGACGAAGGUUCCAAGAUGGCAGCGCGGCACCUCAUUUCUGGAAAGUUGGGAAAGUCUCAAAGUCCACCUCCAGUUCCCAGAACACCUUGCUAGGGAAGACUUCUUUGAAGGUCGGCUGAUAGCUGAGCUCACUGGAGAGAGAAGCAUUUGAUUCUCUCUUCUUCCUCAUUGGUGAAUAACCCAUUUUCUUACACCCUUCAAUGCCCUCCAAGCCUCCAUUUUCAGGAAAGGGCAAACAUCAGUUUUGGCUUCCCCUCUUCCUUUCCCGGUCCCUACCACGUCCCCUGCAACACUCGAUGGAAACAAAGGGUGCGUAAGCAAACCAGGAUCGUGCACAUACCCUAGUCCGAGAGCCAAAACAUGGGAGAUGAAGAGUGACGGAAUGAACACCUUGAGAAACUCUGCAGAGAAGAUGCCCCCUUUCUUCAUGGCGCCACUUUUUCUCAUACUUAGAGAAACAGAACGCUUGGGAUGCCUGAAGUGGAACUCCCUGAGAGAAAGAGAGACAGAAAUAGAGACAGAGAGACAGAGAGGUCAGAGGCAUAGGCUCCACAGAAAUGACACUUGGCUGUGAUAAGCAACUGCUCAAUCAGCUUUCUCCCACCUACCUAACCUCCCUCCUCUCCCACUAAAAGCCAGUCUGCAGAAUUUGCUCCUCUAGUAUCAGCUUUUGAGGAUAGAGCCCGGGUCUGGGAGUCAGGGGACUCAGCUCCGCCACUUGCCUUUUGGCAAGUCUCUUCUCUGUACCUCCGUUUCCUCACCUGUAACAAUGGGACUCACACCUGUUCUCUGGCCCACUUGGAAUGUGAGCCCCAUGUGAUAUACAGGGACUGUAUUUGUUUUGAUUAUCUUGUAUCUUCCCCAGCACCUAGCACAGUGCUUGGCCCGUAGUAAGCAAUUAAAUACUACCACCACCACCAUCAUCACCUUGCAGCUGACCCCUUGCUUAUGUCCUCCCUCCUGCCUGGAACUGCCCCUCCCAUCCCCACGCCAUCAUAUCCAUCAGACCACCACUCUCCCCACCUUUAAAGCUCUACUAAAAUCAUUUCCCAGACUGAGCUCCUCUUCUCCCUCUACUCCCUCUACCACCCC
rnacentral:lncRNA from 1 species